CUCUAAUCACCUUACUCCAAAUAUUAUAUCCUUAUCCAAAAAUUAUAGCUCUAAUUUAUCCCAUUAUUCUCUAUUUUUGAUUAUUGUCUGAUUAUUCACUUAAUUACUAUGAAAAGUGAUUAACAAACACAUUGCUUAAAGACAGUAUUGUAUAUACUUUUUUUUUACGUUUUUACUUUCCUCAAUUUUAAAAGGAAAGGAAGAAUUGUAGUAUCUAUUGUAUCUUCUUCACACUUGCUUAAUUGUUCUCUGAAUUCACAUUUUAUAAGCAUUACUCAUAAAAGAGGUUUGGAAUCUACAUUCUGAAACCAUAAAAUAUUCAGUCUUGUUUAUGAUAAAACGAGUUUAGUCAGGACAGUAGCAAUAGUUAGUGCAUAUGAGAAUCCGCUGUACAGACUGACACUUCUACCCGUACAUGUGCACUUGGUUUCGAUUUUGACAUUCUCAAUUUGAAGAGCAUUCUUACCAAUCUCACAGAUACUUUUGGUAGCGCAGCCGUAGAGUAGUUUGGAAGAAGGUUUGGGCCCUGAAGAUAACAAAUAUCGCAUCCAAGAUUAAUUAAUGAAGGGUAAACCAAUAAAAUGACAAUACAAUAUCAAUGAUCAAGUAGGUACACACAUGUAAGAUAUUUAUGGUGCCAAUCAGUUCGUAUAAAUGAUGCUUGUG